CUACACUGUGGAAGGUUUGUGUUUUGGCUCUUUGCAAUAAAUCUUGCUACUGCUCACUCUUUGGGUCCACAAUGCUUUUAUGAGCUGUAACACUCACCUCGAAGGUCUGCAGCUUCACUCCUGACGCCAGCGAGACCACGAACCCACCGGGAGGAACGAACAACUCCAGACGUGCCGCCUUAGGAGCUGUAACACUCACUGCGAAGGUCCGCAGCUUCACUCCUGAGCCUGCGAGACCACGAACCCACCGGAAGGAGGAAACUCCGAACACAUCCGAACAUCGGAAGGAACAAACUCCGGACACGCCGCCUUUAGAACUGUAACACUCACCGCGAGGGUCCGCGGCUUCAUUCUUGAAGUCAGUGAGACCAAGAACCCACCAAUUCCGGACACAGAGAUAGAUCCUCCCAAAGGAUGGGUGCCUUCAUUCACUCAAGAAAUACCUUGCCUGUGGUGAUGGGACUUUUCCUCUGCUGGAUGGAAGACAUCUGUUCCCCCGAAUAGAUCCAUUACAGGAGGACUUGCAAUCUCCUUAUGGGCAACAACUGUAAAUACGCACACCCCAGCCUCAGUGGAUGUCAAAGAAACUGCUUCAAGGCUAGAACUACCCAGAUAAGAC